AAUAUGGGGGGACCAUCCUCCAAGGCUAAAUACUACUGACUGACCGAUAGUGAACCAGUACCGUGAGGGAAAGGCGAAAAGAACCCCGGAGAGGGGAGUGAAAUAGAUCCUGAAACCGUAUGCGUACAAGCAGUGGGAGCCCACUUUGUUGGGUGACUGCGUACCUUUUGUAUAAUGGGUCAGCGACUUAUUUUCAGUGGCGAGCUUAACCGAAUAGGGGAGGCGUAGCGAAAGCGAGUCUUAAUAGGGCGUCUAGUCGCUGGGAAUAGACCCGAAACCGGGCGAUCUAUCCAUGGGCAGGUUGAAGGUUAGGUAACACUGACUGGAGGACCGAACCGACUACCGUUGAAAAGUUAGCGGAUGACCUGUGGAUCGGAGUGAAAGGCUAAUCAAGCUCGGAGAUAGCUGGUUCUCCUCGAAAGCUAUUUAGGUAGCGCCUCAUGUAUCACUGUAGGGGGUAGAGCACUGUUUCGGCUAGGGGGUCAUCCCGACUUACCAAACCGAUGCAAACUCCGAAUACCUACAAGUGCCGAGCAUGGGAGACACACGGCGGGUGCUAACGUCCGUCGUGAAAAGGGAAACAACCCAGACCGUCAGCUAAGGUCCCAAAGUUAUGGUUAAGUGGGAAACGAUGUGGGAAGGCUUAGACAGCUAGGAGGUUGGCUUAGAAGCAGCCACCCUUUAAAGAAAGCGUAAUAGCUCACUAGUCGAGUCGGCCUGCGCGGAAGAUGUAACGGGGCUCAAACCAUACACCGAAGCUACGGGUAUCACGUAAGUGAUGCGGUAGAGGAGCGUUCUGUAAGCCUGUGAAGGUGAGUUGAGAAGCUUGCUGGAGGUAUCAGAAGUGCGAAUGCUGACAUGAGUAACGACAAUGGGUGUGAAAAACACCCACGCCGAAAGACCAAGGUUUCCUGCGCAACGUUAAUCGACGCAGGGUUAGUCGGUCCCUAAGGCGAGGCUGAAAAGCGUAGUCGAUGGAAAACAGGUUAAUAUUCCUGUACUUCUGGUUAUUGCGAUGGAGGGACGGAGAAGGCUAGGCCAGCUUGGCGUUGGUUGUCCAAGUUUAAGGUGGUAGGCUGAAAUCUUAGGUAAAUCCGGGGUUUCAAGGCCGAGAGCUGAUGACGAGUUACCCUCUGGGUGACGAAGUGGUUGAUGCCAUGCUUCCAAGAAAAGCUUCUAAGCUUCAGAUAACCAGGAACCGUACCCCAAACCGACACAGGUGGUUGGGUAGAGAAUACCAAGGCGCUUGAGAGAACUCGGGUGAAGGAACUAGGCAAAAUGGCACCGUAACUUCGGGAGAAGGUGCGCCGGUGAGGGUGAAGCACUUGCUGCGUAAGCCCACGCCGGUCGAAGAUACCAGGCCGCUGCGACUGUUUAUUAAAAACACAGCACUCUGCAAACACGAAAGUGGACGUAUAGGGUGUGACGCCUGCCCGGUGCCGGAAGGUUAAUUGAUGGGGUUAGCUAACGCGAAGCUCUUGAUCGAAGCCCCGGUAAACGGCGGCCGUAACUAUAACGGUCCUAAGGUAGCGAAAUUCCUUGUCGGGUAAGUUCCGACCUGCACGAAUGGCGUAACGAUGGCGGCGCUGUCUCCACCCGAGACUCAGUGAAAUUGAAAUCGCUGUGAAGAUGCAGUGUAUCCGCGGCUAGACGGAAAGACCCCGUGAACCUUUACUAUAGCUUUGCACUGGACUUUGAAUUUGCUUGUGUAGGAUAGGUGGGAGGCUUUGAAGCGUGGACGCCAGUCUGCGUGGAGCCAUCCUUGAAAUACCACCCUGGCAACUUUGAGGUUCUAACUCAGGUCCGUUAUCCGGAUCGAGGACAGUGUAUGGUGGGUAGUUUGACUGGGGCGGUCUCCUCCUAAAGAGUAACGGAGGAGUACGAAGGUGCGCUCAGACCGGUCGGAAAUCGGUCGUAGAGUAUAAAGGCAAAAGCGCGCUUGACUGCGAGACAGACACGUCGAGCAGGUACGAAAGUAGGUCUUAGUGAUCCGGUGGUUCUGUAUGGAAGGGCCAUCGCUCAACGGAUAAAAGGUACUCCGGGGAUAACAGGCUGAUACCGCCCAAGAGUUCAUAUCGACGGCGGUGUUUGGCACCUCGAUGUCGGCUCAUCACAUCCUGGGGCUGAAGCCGGUCCCAAGGGUAUGGCUGUUCGCCAUUUAAAGUGGUACGCGAGCUGGGUUUAGAACGUCGUGAGACAGUUCGGUCCCUAUCUGCCGUGGACGUUUGAGAUUUGAGAGGGGCUGCUCCUAGUACGAGAGGACCGGAGUGGACGAACCUCUGGUGUUCCGGUUGUCACGCCAGUGGCAUUGCCGGGUAGCUAUGUUCGGAAAAGAUAACCGCUGAAAGCAUCUAAGCGGGAAACUUGCCUCAAGAUGAGAUCUCACUGGAGCCUUGAGCUCCCUGAAGGGCCGUCGAAGACUACGACGUUGAUAGGCAGGGUGUGUAAGCGCUGUGAGGCGUUGAGCUAACCUGUACUAAUUGCCCGUGAGGCUUGACCAUAUAACACCCAAGCA
rnacentral:rRNA from 1 species